rnacentral:piRNA from 1 species
UCGCUUUUUACAGGUCUUUUAUACCCUAG